UACGUAGGGGGCAAGCGUUGUCCGGAAUCAUUGGGCGUAAAGAGCGUGUAGGCGGCUCGGUAAGUCCGCUCUGAAAGCCCGGGGCUCAACCCCGGGAGGCGGGCGGAUACUGUCGGGCUAGAGUCCGGAAGAGGCGAGUGGAAUUCCUGGUGUAGCGGUGAAAUGCGCAGAUAUCAGGAAGAACACCCGUGGCGAAGGCGGCUCUCUGGGACGGUACUGACGCUGAGACGCGAAAGCGUGGGGAGCAAACAGG
rnacentral:rRNA from 1 species